rfam:Musa acuminata subsp. malaccensis Doubled-haploid Pahang (DH-Pahang) genomic chromosome, chr11
UUUUGUGGAUGAUGAGAAUAUGAGUGCAAUACAGUUAUCCCUGUCUGAUGUAUAUGGCUGCUGACAGUAUUCAUUCUGACACAUCC